rnacentral:lncRNA from 1 species
CCGUGCCGGACCAGCCCAUGGGUUGAGGUAGCGGCCCAGGCCCAGCCCGUAGUGUAGGUCGGGCCGGCUCGACCUACAGGGUUGCCGUGCCAGGCCGUGCCUGGACGGGGCCAAAAUGCCAUGCCAUGGGCCAAAUGGCCAUCUAUAGUCAGGGGUCCAUGUGGGUGCCGGUUCCGUCCCGUGGGGCGCGAAUGGGUGCGCGCGCUCUCCCUCCCUCUCUCUAUAUGUAUUACGAGAUACGAGAAUGGACAUAUCAAUUAUAAUAAAUCGACUACAUAGUUUUCUGAAACCAUUCAAGUUACUGUAACCAUUCCAGUGCGUUGGAUGGACCGGCCACAGAAUAAACUAUUCUAUCGCCAGCUGUAGAGUAUAUAAGUGUGUGUAUAUAUAUAUAAUGCACCUGGUUGCAUUUUGCAUCUUGUUGCAACUGGUUUAGUCUGCUUGUUGCAACC